UACGUAGGUGGCAAGCGUUGUCCGGAUUUACUGGGCGUAAAGGGCGUGCAGGCGGUCUGUUAAGUUCAGGGUGAAAGCUCCCGGCUCAACUGGGAGAGGUCCUUGGAUACUGGCAGACUUGAGGGAGGUAGAGGAGAGUGGAAUUCCCGGUGUAGUGGUGAUAUGCGUAGAUAUCGGGAGGAACACCGGUGGCGAAGGCGGUUCUCUGGGCCUGACCUGACGCUGAGGAGCGAAAGCGUGGGGAGCGAACAGG
rnacentral:rRNA from 1 species